CAAUAUGUAGGGAUUUAGCAGCGCUAGUGGAUAAACGCCGCAGAGGUUGAUUUCUUUUAGGCAAAACUAUUUUCCCCCUUUUUCCCAAGCCUGAAAUCGUCGUUCAUUUCCCCGAAAUUUGCAGCCCAACUAUUUUCCCCAACCUUUUAGAUUUUUUUCUUUUUUCCCCCCGAAAUCCCUAAGUUCCACCCAAAAUCAGCAGCCCAACUAUUUUCCCCAAAUCGGCAGCCUUGAAAUCGAUAUUGAAGAUAAAAUGCCUAAAAGAAGAUUGCGAGAUCUAAGUAUUGUUCAAAAUACUCCAAACUCGGAAGAAACAAUUAGUGAAUAACAAACUGCUAUUGGAUCUUCGAAUGUUCCGAAUACACCUGACGAACCUACAGAACUUCAAACUGAAAGUGGUGGGAUGCGCAGAGGUCGAGGAUGUACGCUACUUAAAGAUUUAUACGAGUUAGAUCCUGUCGAGUGUGUCAAAAUAUGUAGAAAUAUUUUUGGUCAGCCUGUUGGAUCAGAAGCUCGACUUUUAGCAGGAUAUUUGGGCAUUAUAGCACGAAAUGCCAAUAUGUUGCCUAUCAACUACGAGUCAUGACAUCAAAUGCCUGAUAGUAACAAAAAUCAAGCUCUCGAUAAUAUUAAGGCGAGGUUUGCUUUAGAGGUCUCGGAUAAUUAUGUCAAGAAGGCAUUAGGAAAAAGAUGGAGAGACCAUAAAAAUACUUUAAAGAAAGAAUAUUUUAAGACAAAAACAAUCCUCGAAGAGAAAUUGCGAAAUGUUCCACCGGGAAUGCUGAGGUACCAAUGGGAAGAUUUGGUUAGAUUUUGGAAUUCAAAGAAAGGAGAGGAUCGUGAACGAGUUGGAAAAAGUAGCAGGCAAAAAUAGAAAUUCACUCACACAGCUAGGUCGAAAAGUUUUGCUUGUGUACUUGAGGCCGAGGAACUGUCGUCUGGUCAAAAAGUUGGACGCCUUCAACUUUUUGACAUUACACAUAGGAAGAAAGAUGGAUCUCUUAUGACUUCUGAAGCUGCAGAAAUUAUGGAGAAACUAAAGGAUAAAAAGGUGGAGUAUGAAGCGAUUGCCUCGAUUGAUAGUUUUGUUAAUGUUGACGAAAUUGAUAAUCAGAUUAUUAUUGAAGUUUUGGGUCUUGAAAGGUAUGGUCGGGUUCGAUUUCAAAGAUUUUUUGUUAACCCAACCCAAUAUUUUAGAUCCAGCUCGCAGUAAAACAUGUCUUCGGGGAGUCAGGCUCAAGUUGAAGUUCAGAGGUUAAGAGACCAGAUGGCUUAGAUGCAAGCGAGCACAGUUGAGUGAAUUACUCAACUUAAAGCGGAGGCAGCAUCGAGAGAAGCUGAAGUUUAAAGAAAAUAUGAAGAACUCCAGCUACAACUUAAAGCAGAGGCAACAGUGAGGGAAGCAGAGCAGAGCAGAAAGUACGACGCACUCCAAAAAUAGCUUCAGAAUAUGAUGAAGAUGUUUCAGCAGUCGCAAAAUCCGCCAUCUUAGACUAUUGUAUGAAUAAUUUUAACAUUUUAAUUUUUAACAUUAUUGUAAGAAUAAUUUGAAUUAUACUUCAUUUAUCAUUUUAUAUGAUAUAUCUUUCGUUGAAUUUGAA